UGGGGAAUAUUGCACAAUGGGCGCAAGCCUGAUGCAGCCAUGCCGCGUGUGUGAAGAAGGCCUUCGGGUUGUAAAGCACUUUCAGCGAGGAGGAAGGUGGUGAGCUUAAUACGCUCAUCAAUUGACGUUACUCGCAGAAGAAGCACCGGCUAACUCCGUGCCAGCAGCCGCGGUAAUACGGAGGGUGCAAGCGUUAAUCGGAAUUACUGGGCGUAAAGCGCACGCAGGCGGUUUGUUAAGUCAGAUGUGAAAUCCCCGGGCUCAACCUGGGAACUGCAUUUGAAACUGGCAAGCUAGAGUCUCGUAGAGGGGGGUAGAAUUCCAGGUGUAGCGGUGAAAUGCGUAGAGAUCUGGAGGAAUACCGGUGGCGAAGGCGGCCCCCCUGGACGAAGACUGACGCUCAGGUGCGAAAGCGUGGGGCAGCAAACAGGAUUAGAUACCCUGGUAGUCCAGCGCUGUAAAACGAUGUCGAUUUGGAGGUUGUGCCCUUGAGGCGUGGCUUCCGGAGCUAACGCGUUAAAUCGACCGCCUGGGGGAGUACGGCCGCAAGGUUAAAACUUAAAUGAAUUGC
rnacentral:rRNA from 1 species